rnacentral:rRNA from 1 species
UACGUAGGUGGCAAGCGUUAUCCGGAAUUAUUGGGCGUAAAGAGCGCGCAGGUGGUUAAUUAAGUCUAAUGUGAAAGCCCACGGCUUAACCGUGGAGGGUCAUUGGAAACUGGUUGACUUGAGUGCAGAAGAGGGAAGUGGAAUUCCAUGUGUAGCGGUGAAAUGCGUAGAGAUAUGGAGGAACACCAGUGGCGAAGGCGGCUUCCUGGUCUGCAACUGACACUGAGGCGCGAAAGCGUGGGGAGCAAACAGG